GAGCGAAGGACCCAGCAGGGAAGCGAGUAAUGCUCAUGAAAUGAGGCUUCUCUAACAAAUUUAUUUAACCUUCGUAGAUUAAGUCUCUCCAAGAGAUCGUUGAUUAUCUGUUGUUAUAGGAUUGUCGUGAGUUCUUGGUGUAAAGUU
rfam:Brassica rapa chromosome A5, whole genome shotgun sequence.